GACAAACAGUGUGAGCACUACUCCCACCUUAGUCCAACAAUACAGGCAAAUGAUAAUUUAUUCUGAAGUUAUUUUUCCUUUUAGUCUGAUUUGUUGCAUUAUUAAGAGGUAGACCUGGAAGCCAGCUUGGCUUUCAAGGUGAUCAGAGUGAAAAAAGAGAAGGGGGAGACAGGGAAAUGGAUGCUGAGCAGCCAGCACUCGUGAGGAGCAUGACCUGUACCUCCAGCUACUUCCCUGGAGAACAACUUCCUGGUCUCUGGGCCUGGGCCUGAGCUGUUCUAGGGGAAACAUCCUGCAUUCCUUUCUGCUGGAGCAACCCAAAGCUCACCGGGCAAGGAAGAAGACAAGGGGAAGGAUUUGGAGAUGGGGAGGAGAGACAAAGGGAAAGAACUCAUCUUUAGGUUAGACAUGUGCCAGGCAAUUUGCAUGUGUGGUAGGAAGUGGCUCUCUGUUCCACUCUCACCUUAGGUGAGAAAGUAGAUUUUUUAACAUAGCAACUGCACAAGAAUGUAAUGAGAGGUGAUGAGUACUAGUAAGACAGAGGUUUGUCUGGCCCUCUUCUCUGCAGAACAUAAAGAUGAUGGGCAAAUGGGACCUGCUGGUGUAAGAAGUAACAGCUGAUCAGAUUAGAACGUGGGGGGAACAGAGACCAAGGGGAGAUAUCCAUGUACCUGUGGGAAGAAGAAUCAGCAAGGGCUGAAGGGGGAUUUGGGGCACGAAGGGGAGAGAACAAGGAAGUGUUUGUUCCACUCCCUGGACUUGGUUCAGGUUCCGGUUCUUCCUGGUGAUGAGGCCCAUGUGCCUUUACAGCUGCCCCUGCGUCUAUCACACCCAGGGUCACACCAUGUCAGCUCGUUCGAUCCUCCUGUGAACGCUGUGGGUAAUUAUGAUGAUUACCCAUUAGAGAGAGGUUAAUAACUUGUCCAACGUUGCCUAGUAAGAAAGUGGCGACUCUAGAAUUCAAACUCAGGUCUGUCUAGUUCCAAAUCCCCAGCUCCCUCCUCUUCUAUGUGCUCCUAAACCUGGUUGAUCAUCAGAAUCUCCUGGAAUUAAAAAAAAAAAAAAUCCUGGACUGUUCACUGGGGAUUGCAAUUUAACAGGUCUGGGAAUGAAUAUAUAUAUUAUAUAUAUAUA